rnacentral:lncRNA from 1 species
UGGCUUUUUAGUGGUGGUGGCUGGUUCUAAUCAAGUGCUGAAACACUGGGAAUCUUUGCAGGUUCCAGCUCAAAAUCUGCUGCUUCAACAUUGAAGUUCUUGUUUACUUGUAUUAUUUAUAGGUGAAAGUCAUGCCUUUUUUUAUUGUGGACUACAGAUUUCCCUCUAUUUUAUCUUAGAAUUUUACAGUCGGAUCAGUUGUUUAGUAAUUUAUUUAAAUUACAGACUUAGUUUGCCUUGAGCAGUAAUUUAUGUUGUAUCUUGAAUCAAAGAUGAUUCUUAGCAGUUUAAGCUUCUCUUCCACACUGGUUUUUUAGUUGAUGUUAUGUGCUGGUUUUAUCUUGAUGUCACUAUGUCAAGGUGUCUUGCUUGCUCAGUCUUCUUUCUAGCACAGGUUUGGUUCUGGUGACGACGAU